rnacentral:rRNA from 1 species
GUUAGGAAUAUUGGACAAUGGGCGCAAGCCUGAUCCAGCCAUGCCGCGUGAGUGAUGAAGGCCUUCGGGUUGUAAAGCUCUUUAGCCGAUGAUUAUAAUGACUGUAGUCGGAAAAUAAGCCCCGGCUAACUUCGUGCCAGCAGCCGCGGUAAUACGAAGGGGGCGAGCGUUAUUCUGAAUCACUGGGCGUAAAGCGUGCGUAGGCGGCUUUGCAAGUUGGGAGUGAAAGCCCAGGGCUCAACCCUGGAAUUGCUCUCAAAACUGCAAGGCUCGAAUUCGGGAGAGGAUAGCGGAAUUGUCAGUGUAGCAGUGAAAUGCGUAGAUAUUGACAGGAACACCAGUGGCGUAAGCGGCUAUCUGGACCGAUAUUGACGCUGAGGCACGAAAGCGUGGGGAUCAAACAGGAUUAGAAACCCGUGUAGUCC